GAUGAACGCUGGCGGCGUGCCUAAUACAUGCAAGUCGAGCGCACAGACGAGGAGCUUGCUCCUCUUACGUUAGCUGCGGACGGGUGAGUAACACGUGGAUAACCUACCUAUAAGACUGGGAUAACUUCGGGAAACCGGAGCUAAUACCGGAUAAUAUAUUGAACCGCAUGGUUCAAUAUUGAAAGACGGUUUUGCUGUCCCUUAUAGAUGGAUCCGCGCCGCAUUAGCUAGUUGGUAAGGUAACGGCUUACCAAGGCAACGAUGCUUAGCCGACCUGAGAGGGUGAUCGGCAACACUGGAACGGAGACACGGUCCAGACUCCUACGGGAGGCAGAAGUAGGGAAUCUUCCGAAAUGGGCGAAAGCUUGACGGAGCAACGCCGCGGGAGUGAUGAAGGUCUUCGGAUCGUAAAACUCUGUGAUUAGGGAGGAACAAAGGUGUAAGUAACUAUGCACGUCUUGACGGUACCUAAUCAGAAAGCCACGGCUAACUACGUG
rnacentral:rRNA from 1 species